UUUUAAUCUCAGAAAAAAAAUUACUUCACAAUUUAAUGAGAAGUGGAGUCUGUUCCAUAGAUGUUUGAAGCAAAGCACGAGUAACGUCCUGUGUCCUCCUCAAAAGCUUCAACAAUAAUCAAUGAGUGCUGAUCACCUGUCUGGAUAAUUUGAAUGUCUGGAGCCAUUAUGAAAGCAGAGGGAUUCAGGCAUCCUGUUAACACACUCAUCUUAAGGUGGCCUAAGUAUGAAGACAAAUGACUGCCCUUUACCACCUUUCAGAGAGCUGUUAUCUCACAGACACUGAAGCAAGUGCAUGACUAUUUGCUGGAUCAGUCUCUCAGAAUAUGCAGUGUUUAUUAUCUCUCUCCUGCUUCAUUUAUGGCCUGGUGAGUCUUGCUGUGAUGGUUUCAAAUACUCCUGCUCUAAGGUAUCUGGUUUGUCGCACUGCAGAGGGGUCUGUUUGUGUCGUGGCAUCAAGAGAAGGGAACAU